CCUACGGGAGGCAGCAGUGAGGAAUAUUGGUCAAUGGGCGCGAGCCUGAACCAGCCAAGUAGCGUGAAGGAUGACUGCCCUACGGGUUGUAAACUUCUUUUAUAAAGGAAUAAAGUGAGGCACGUGUGCCUUUUUGUAUGUACUUUAUGAAUAAGGAUCGGCUAACUCCGUGCCAGCAGCCGCGGUAAUACGGAGGAUCCGAGCGUUAUCCGGAUUUAUUGGGUUUAAAGGGAGCGUAGAUGGGUUGUUAAGUCAGUUGUGAAAGUUUGCGGCUCAACCGUAAAAUUGCAAUUGAUACUGGCAGCCUUGAGUACAGUUGAGGUAGGCGGAAUGCGUGGUGUAGCGGUGAAAUGCAUAGAUAUCACGCAGAACUCCGAUUGCGAAGGCAGCUUACUAAACUAUAACUGACACUGAAGCACGAAAGCGUGGGGAUCAAACAGGAUUAGAUACCCUUGUAGUC
rnacentral:rRNA from 1 species